UCCCCUUGCUGUUUUGUCUUCGACAUCUAUACGGAAUUUCUAUAUGGUCUUGCGCGCUCGUCAUCAACAGCACUAGGUCCAGUGGGCCAAUCAGGCUGAAUGGCAUCAUCCAGCUGUGACUGGGGUGUAGGAGUCGCCACCUGCUGUUGCGCCGACUCGAGCUAGUACUCGCAUGAGCUCGCUGGAAUUGCUAUGUGCAUCCACAAAGUCCGAAAGAACAAGCUGGAAAGGGGUCUGGGAUCGUGCAACGGCGAGGGAAUUGUAUAAGCACAGAACUGUGUCACACCCUGUACGAUACAGGAGCGUACCUCGUUUCUUACUGGUACCAUAUGACCCAUGACUGAGAUGAGCGCCAAGCUUCGAAAUAAGGCUGGACAGUAGCCACCGGUUGUUGCAGUCGCUGGAUGGUGAAGAAAUCAGCAGCCGUUGCCAGAAGAAGAGAACGGUUCUCGAGGAAUGCAAGACAGACAAAUCUUGCUGUUGCCAGCAAUGCAGACUCCUCGGGUGAGGUGCAUUGGUGCAUUUCGUCUGUUAUACUCUGCACCAGGCUCUCCAGCUUGAAGUCAGUAGUCUGACUGUCCACCAUAUCCAGUUGGCCUUUAUAACAGGCUAGGCAAAAAGCACUAUCCGCGGUGACCGUAAGACCACGCUCAGUGUGCAGCUGACGCUGAACUGCUCCGACGUUCGGACAUUUACGCUUAACACCCCUUAUUUGUGCGCCACACAUGGUGCAUGUGGGCCUGUUGCUGUCAUGUAGCUGCAUGUUAUGCCGGUUGCAGAGACCCGCUGGCUGAUCGUUUGCGUUUACUUUCACGUUAACCUCUUUAGCACGACGCUACCUGAGCGCGCCCCACGACAACACCUGUAAAAGUCGCAUUUUCCCAUGAAAGUACUAGCUGCUCAAGGAUCGAUAACUUUCCCUUGGACGAAUUCCACGAUCUUGAGCUUCCUGGAAAGGUCUUGAGACGAGUGACAAACUGGUGUCAAACCUAGCUCGGAGCGAAACCAAAACCCCGUGCUACAGUCUGGCAAACUUCAUCCACGCGCUCGACAGACUUGAGCACGGCCAAGACUAACCAAGCUCAAAUAUUUAGCUGCCAUUUCGGUCUCCUUGCUCGUAUCGAGCUCAAAUGUUUUGUGAGGACU